rnacentral:rRNA from 1 species
GACGAACGCUGGCGGCGUGCUUAACACAUGCCAGUCGAACGGAAAGGCCCUGCUUUUGUGGGGUGCUCGAGUGGCGAACGGGUGAGUAACACGUGAGUAACCUGCCCUUGACUUUGGGAUAACUUCAGGAAACUGGGGCUAAUACCGGAUAUGAGCUCCUGCUGCAUGGUGGGGGUUGGAAAGUUUCGGCGGUUGGGGAUGGACUCGCGGCUUAUCCGCUUGUUGGUGGGGUAGUGGCUUACCAAGGCUUUGACGGGUAGCCGGCCUGAGAGGGUGACCGGCGACAUUGGGACUGAGAGACGGCCCAGAAUCCUACGGGAGGCAGCAGGGGGGAAUAUUGCACAAUGGGCGGAAGCCUGAUGCAGCAACGCCGGGUGCGGGAUGACGGCCUUCGGGUUGUAAACCGCUUUCGCCUGUGACGAAGAGUGAGUGACGGUAAUGGGUAAAGAAGCACCGGCUAACUACGUG